CACCAAAACCCAGUUCACUCAUCACCGAGCCACAGUUCCUACCACUGUCAUCUGUUAUCAGCUUUUGUUUCCUGUUGCCAGUGCUGCUCAUUUGCCCACCUGCUCAGCUACCCUCCGGCCUGUUCAUCCAUGCUUCUACCUUUAUCUGGCCAUCAAUAGCCUGGCUUUUCUCCACUCUGUGAGGCCCACUGUGCUGCACGCCUUCAAAGUCACCACUCAAGGUCAACAGAAUGGACAGGAAAGUGCUUGGCCAAGGAGGAGAUAAAUCAGCUAAUUAAACUGCACUCGCUUAAUCAAGGGACCAGUAACUCUUGCACCCAUCACAGCCAGUCAAGCCCAGUGUAACAUUACUGCCCUGUGGAAGAGUUAGUGCCCUCUGGGAGGGAUGCCCGCACCCAGUGCCUCAUAAAACACACAGAUGCAAGGUUAAUUGACUGUUCAGCACUUGUCGGACUGCCAUCCCAAGUACUGUAAUAGCAAAUGUGCACUUUUUUUUUUUUUCAUGUCUUCCUUUGUCUCUCUCUGGCUUCAGCUCCUACCCCUCUUUUCUCAGUGAACAGGAUCAGCAUCCUCCUCCUCUUAAUUUGUAAUUACUGCUAGGUGUUGUACAAGGGCAAGCGUAGGGGUAGGAUGGGGAAGAUUACAUGAAAAAGGAGGGAAUGAUUAGGAGUAGGAAUGAUGGGAUGCACUGCAAACAGACAAGCAGGCAUUUUACAGCUAAAUAAUUUUCUAUUUAGGUUCCCUAAACAAACUAAGUGAAAUCUAACUAAAACUAAGUGAGUGUUAAGGAUUUUCCAUCUGUUUGUCACAGAAGUUUGCUCACCAAGUUGUCCAGCUCUGGAUCUUCACUGAAGAAGGGCUUGUGUUCUCGCUCCUGCUGGUGCACAAAGUUUUCUAUGUCCACAUCAAAGCUGGCUGAUGUGAUGCAUUCAGAUCCCUGUGUGGCCUGCUCACAUUUCUCAAACAACAACGCCAGCAGGGGGAACAACGGAUGUCUAAUGGGGGAGGGAGAGAGAGAGAGAAACAGUGUGCAACAGUUUGUAUUGUUGCUGAUCUUAAUUAUGUUAUUGAUUGCGUAUUAAUAGUAAAUGUUUUGUGCAUCAAGCCAAGACAGGAGCAUCAAAUCAUUUUACUGCAUUUCUAAUGUCCCUUCAGAAGACAAUUAAUACAUUGAAUGGCUUUCCACAGCCCUAAAGAAGAGUUGUAAAGUAAACAAAAUUUCACAACUAGAACUAAGCACUUGCCCCUUGAUUUUUUUUUUAAAGGGCUAACACCAAAAAUCUGCUAAUAUUUUAUAUGAAGCUGAAAUUGUUUCUGCUAUGAAACUCGAUCGAAUUAUCUUGACACAAUGUGACAUUAUUAUUUGGUCAGUUAACUUUGAGAAUAAGAGAAAUAGGCUCAGGAAUGCGAGAUACUAAAGUUUAACGAUGGACUUUUCACUGACAGCAAAAUACAUUUACAAGCCAAUUAACAUUAUCCUGUUUCCAUCAGUGCAUUAAGUAAAGAGAGAAUAAAUUACGGGUUUUACCAUAUUAAACACUUUAAAAUCUUAAAAUCACUUGAGAGCUUUAAAUGGACAGAUUAUCAUGAGCAUGGGCCCUGGGUACAAAUUAACACUAACACAACCCAUACAUAACAUACCACCUCUCCCAGCACAGAGUACAGGACCAAGUAACCUACACAGCUUGUGUCAUGUAGAUUAUUUUUUUUACUAUGUGUACCAGUGUGCACUAUUCAUCCUUAAGAGCUAAAACAGAAACUUAACACAGCACAAAACAGCAGUGACAAGUGUUCUACCCAGACCAUCUGCUUUCUUCUGGCCUUCUGUGAAGAGAAGAAAUUGAUCAGUCUAUGAGGACAAGCUCAAGAGGAAACGUUCAAAUUCAGUGACCGUGGGUGAUAUGUUCUCUCUGACUCUGAGUGGCAGACACAGUCUUAAUGACCAUGUUAGGGAAUGUGAACUGUAAUCCACAAUCCAGUAACACUGAGGUGUGCUCUGUCUGUCAGGUCUGAUCAUCAAAGAUCUGAAAUGUAUCAGCUCAUCAGAGAGAGAUCACUGUCAGUUACUACACUGUCUGUCUUUAGGCUUCUUUUUUCUCUUUUUUAAGUUUAGUCUUUCCCACUAGAAAUGUGUUUUUCCCUUUUGAAGUUGCAGCUGACACUUGACAUUUAUACUUUAUUUCCACCCACAAAGCAAUUUAUUUGGCUAUAUGUUACAAAACAACUCUACAGUAUAUUAAUAUACUUGUACUUCAAUUUUUGCUGUUUGGUCAGUCUGUUGGUCAGUUUACACACAUGAUGGUAAACAUGGUACUGUACACAUUAUACCUGCCAGACAUCAGCAUGUAAGCACUGUAACUAAGCAUGUUAACAUGCUGACUGCUGAGCUGAUGAAACUGAGUACAAUAAAUGCAGGGCUACGCAUGAAAACUCAGGGAUACACUAUUAGAAUGCAAAGUUUCUUUCCAGA